rnacentral:rRNA from 1 species
UACGAAGGGGGGCUAGCGUUGCUCGGAAUCACUGGCGUAAAGCGCACGUAGGCGGCUUUUUUAAGUCAGGGGGUGAAAUCCUGGAGCUCAACUCCAGAACUGCCUUUGAUACUGAGAAGCUUGAGUUCGGGAGAGGUGAGUGGAACUGCGAGUGUAGAGGUGAAAUUUCGUAGAUAUUCGCAAGAACACCAGUGGCGAAGGCGGCUCACUGGACUGGUAUUGACGCUGAGGUGCGAAAGCGUGGGGGAGCAAACAGG